rnacentral:rRNA from 1 species
UACGAAGGGGGCUAGCGUUGCUCGGAAUGACUGGGCGUAAAGGGCGCGUAGGCGGCUUGCACCGUCAGAUGUGAAAUUCCUGGGCUUAACCUGGGGGCUGCAUUUGAUACGUGUGGGCUUGAGUGCGGAAGAGGGUCGUGGAAUUCCCAGUGUAGAGGUGAAAUUCGUAGAUAUUAGGAAGAACACCGGUGGCGAAGGCGGCCCACUGGAUCGGUACUGACGCUGAGGUGCGAAAGCGUGGGGAGCAAACAGG